ACGGGAGGCAGCAGUGGGGAAUAUUGGGCGAUGGGCGCAAGCCUGACCCAGCAACGCCGCGUGAAGGAUGAAGGUCUUCGGAUUGUAAACUUCUUUAAUCGGGGAAGAAAAAAAUGACCUACCCGAAGAAUAAGCCACGGCUAACUACGUGCCAGCAGCCGCGGUAAUACGUAGGUGGCAAGCGUUAUCCGGAUUUACUGGGUGUAAAGGGCGUGUAGGCGGCUCUGCAAGUCAGAAGUGAAAUUCCCGGGCUCAACCUGGGCGCUGCUUCUGAAACUGCAGAACUUGAGUGCUGGAGGGGAUAGCGGAAUUCCUAGUGGAGCGGUAAAAUGCGCAGAUAUUAGGAAGAACACCGGUGGCGAAGGCGGCUAUCUGGACAGUAACUGACGCUGAGGCGCGAAAGCGUGGGGAGCAAACAGGAUUAGAUACCCUGGUA
rnacentral:rRNA from 1 species